rnacentral:lncRNA from 1 species
AAACCCUUUCAUCCCCAAAUUGCUUCGGUCAUGGUGUUUCAUCCCAGCAAUAGUGACCCUGACUAAGACAGUGGUGAUUGGGGGGGAGAUAGCUUGUUGGUUUGCUGUGCAGCUGAGAAUCUGAGUUUGAUCCUCCCCCAAGGCCAGGACAGCAUUGCGCUCUGACCUCCAGGCCCACACACAUAUACUAAAUAAAUUUUUUAAAAUUAUUUAUUAUGUAUACAACAUUCUGCCUCCUAUAUGCCUGCACACCAGAAGAGGGCGCCAGAUCUCAUUAUGGAUGGUUGUGAGCCACCAUGUGGUUGCUGGGAAUUGAACUCAGGAACUCCAGAAGAGCAGUCGGUGCUCUAAACCUGUGAGCCAUCUCUCCAGCCCUUAAUUUUUUUAAAAAAAACAAACAAAGUUUUCACUAUGCAGUGGUGGCACACACCCAUAACCCAGCACUCGGGAAGCAGAGAUGGUCGCAUCUAUGUGAGUUUGAGGCCAGCCUGACUACAGAGUGAGCUCAGGAAAAGGCUCCAAAGCUACACACAGAAACCCUGUCUCAGGAAAGAGGACGAGGAGGAGGAGGAGUUGGCACAGUCUACCAAGGCAGGGACAGAGCUUGGGGACAGCUGGUCACACUGCAUGCACAGUCUGGAAGCAGAGCAGAGACGGACAGAUGCUGGUACUUAGCUAGUUUUCUCUUGCCUGUUCUACCCAGGACUCCAGCACACGGAAUGGUGCACCCGGUGCAAGAUGGGACUUCUCUCCUAGUUUGCCUUCUAUUGCUGUGACGAAUACCAUGACCAAAAGCAGCCUGGGAGGGAGAGGGCUUAUUUGGAUUGUCCAUCCUGUUCACAGUCAGUCACUGAGGGAAAAUAAGGGCAGGAGCUAAAGGAACAAUGCAGAUGACAGGCUCUGCUUGCAACAUUGACCGGGGGGGGGGGGUGUUUCAAGACAGGGUUUCUCUGUGUAGCUUUGGAGCCUAUCCUGGCACUCGCUCUUGUAGACCAGGCUGGUCUCGAACUCACAGAGAUCCAUCUGCCUCUGCCUCCCGAGUGCUGGGACUAAAGGUGUAUGCCACCACCGCCUGGCUUGCUUCUUCUUUUUUUUUUUUAAGUAAUUUGUUUAAAUUUAUUUUAUGUGCACUGGUGUGAAGGCAUCAGAUUCCCUGGAACUGGAGUUGCAGACAGCUGUGAGCCACCAUGUGGUUGCUGGGAAUUGAACCCAGGUCCUCUGGAAGAGCAGCCAGUGCUCUCAGCCUCUGGGCCAUCUCUCCAGCCCCUCAGUUUGCUUUCUUACAGGACUACCUGGCCAUUAGGGGCACCGCCCACAGUGGUCUGAGCCCUCCUACAUCAGUCAUUGAUGAAGGAAAUGUCCCAUAGACCCGCCAAUCUAUUGGGAGCAUUCCCUCAAUCAGCCAGCCCUCUUUUCUAGCUUCUGUCAAGUGGAAAGGACCCAGUGAGCCACACUGUCUUCCUACCUGAAUGAACCCACUCUAGAUAAUCUCUCAUGAGCAUGCUUGCAGGAGGCCUGUGUUCUAGAAUAUUCUAGGUCCUGCCAAGGUAACAAAGGUGAACAUAACUCUUUGUUUUCAAGAUUUUUAUCUCUCUCUCUCUCUCUCUCUCUCUCUCUCUCUCUCUCUCUCUCUCAGAUUUAUUGGUUAGGUACACAGGGUUCUGUCCCCAUGCAUACCCGCACACCGGAAGAGGGCAUCAGAUCGCAUUACAGACAGUUGUGAGCCACCAUGUGGUUGCUGGGAAUUGAACUCAGGUCCUCUGGAAGAGCAUCCAGUGCUCUUAACGUGUGAGCCAGCUCUCCAGCACGUUUUUUUUUUCUUUAUUCCGUGUGUGUGUGUGUGUGUGUGUGUGUGUGUGUGUGUGUGGUGUAUAUGGCCCUGUGUGUGUGUAGACCUGUGUGCACAAGGAGAGGCCAGAGGAGGACAUGGGUGUCUCUGCCCAUAUUCCUUUUGAAACAGGCUCUGCCACUGGCUCACUAAGCCAGAAGCCAGAAAACCCUCCUCCUCCCUGCCCCUCACAGUGCUGGAGUUGCAGGCCCACGUGGCCACGCCCACCCUUUUCUAUGAGCGCCUGGGAUUUGAACUCAAGUCCUCAUAACCUAGGCAGCUAAGCGCUCCCACCCACUGAGCCAUCGCUACAGCCCCAGAGCUUCACGUUUCUUCAAGACAACACCAGCUUCCGGACGUCAGGUUGCUGUGUCCUGCACCAUCACCACCCAUGCUACAGGCUCGGCAGACAGCAUCAGUUGAUCAGCAUGGCAGACAGACAGACAGCACCGAUAGCUGGGGGCAUUCUCUCCUCCGGAGCAAAUAUGUGUUGAGAAUCCUUCCAAACACCGCGUCCCAAGCCACACUCGGAAUCAAUUAGUCUCGACCAAGGAGCUGAACGAAAAGGAAACCAAAGCCUGGGAAAUUAAAAAAGACUCGCUCAAGGUCACAGCAUGAGUUUGCAUAAAAUCUGCGGUGGUGAAAUGUAGCCGCCGGGGGUGGCUCGGUGGCUCGGCUCGGUGGGGGAAAGGAGCUAGCCAUCAGGCUGACAACCCGAGUUCAUUCACUGGAAGCCACGCGGCAGAAGCGGAGAACUGCUCGCUGAAAGCCGUCCUCUGACCUUGCCCUGUGCACCCCGGGGCAUGCAUCCUCCCCACCCCGCCCCGUAUUUUUUUUUUUUUUAAUGUAACAGCUAAUUGACUGUGAAUCAAGGAAAACCUGGGCGCAGGACGUUAAUAUCCGGGUAACCUCAUCUCCCUAUGCCUCAGCGUCUUCACCUGUAACAUGGGGCUAGCAGGAAUGCUGAGUUCACAGCAUGGUGGGAGAAGCCAGUGACUAAAUCAGUGAAAAAAAAAAAAAAAUGUUCCCUCAGUAUGGCUGUGCUUGUGACCCAGGUGUCAUAGCUCCAGGUCAUUAUCAUUGCACAGAUGAUGACCACACGAGGCAGAUAUACGUUCUUCCAAUAUUUUUCAAGAUUAAGCUUAUUAGGGCCACAGGGGUGGUGGUGGUGGGCUGUUGCCAGUGGUAGAGCCUCUGCCUAGAAUCCCCCCAGUGAGGGGCUGGGCUGUGGCUCAGUGGUAGAGCCCCUGCCUAGAAUCCCCCAGUGAGGAGGGGCUGGGGGCGUGGCUCAGUGUAGAGCCCCUGCCUAGAAUCCCCCAGUGAGGGACUGGGGGUGUGGUUCAGGUAUAGAGUUCUAGCCUUGCAUUCUGGGGGUCCUUGAUUUCCUGGGAGAGAGACAGACAGAGAGAGAGAGAGACAGACAGACAGAGAGAGAGAGAGAGAGAGAGAGAGAGAGAGGGGGAAAGAGAGGAGAGAGAGAUCAGCUAUAAAUUUAUCAGAUAUUUUGUAUUUUGGCUCUUCUCGGUCCCUCAGUGUAGCGGAAUCACAGCUCUUAGAAUCAGGUUUUGAGCCUCCUCCUCCCUCAGCUAUACAAACAGUGGCAAUUCCUACAUACCCACUACUGUGAAUGGCUGGUGGAUUACGUUCAGAUGGGAAGCAUCUGCCUCACAGUAGCUGUACACUAAAUAGUUGCGGUUGUUUCUCAAACGGUAGCGAAAGGGCCCAGCAUACGGGAAGCCCACUGUCGCCUUGUACCUGGGAAGGAUGUUCAGGUUCGGGAGCCAGACUGACUUGGUGCCAGUCAAAGGCUAUCACUGUGUGCAAAGCUCUCAGGUCAGUCAUUCACCUCGUUGGCUGAAGGGGCACAAACAGGCCGGUAAAUCCAGCAAGGGGGGGGGGGCGGUCUUGGGAAUAAAGUCAGAUAGAGCAGUGUGGAUGCUCUUGGCAGUGUAAUAGGCAGUCAGAGGUGUAGCAAGAGAUGGCUUUUUGUUUGUUUUUGUUUGUAUUGACCUUAACCCUGUCAUCAUUUAUUGUCCUCAAACAGGGACUGAAAUAUAAGGUGAUGCUUAAAUAAUCUAUUUUUCAUCUCUCUCUCUCUCUCUCUCUCUCUCUCUCUCUCUCUCUCUCUCUCUCUCUCUGCCCUUAAGCACUCUUCACAGCCAAUGAUGACCUUGAACUCCUGUUCCUCCUGCUCCCAUCUCCUGAGUGCCUCCAUGUCUGGCUGACAAUGAGCACACAGGGCCUCAGGUGUGCUAGGUCCCUCUCCCAGUUAGCCAAAUCCGAAGUCCUUACUUAGUUUUUUUUUGUAUUUGUUUUGUUUUUGUUUUAUUUUUGAGACAGGGUUUCUCUGCGUAGCCCUGGCUGUCCUGAAACUCACUCUGUAGACCUCAAAUUUGAGGUUGUCCUCAAAUUCAGAGAUCUGCCUGCCUCUGCCUUCCAAGUGCUGGGAUUAAAGGUGUGCCACCCCCCCCCACCACCUGACUUAUUUUUAAUUUUAUUAUUAUUAUGGGGAGGAAGGGAAGGGAGAAGGGUUCUCAGACAUUCCAUGCCACAGUGUGUG